rnacentral:lncRNA from 1 species
UCGAUAGCUUAGCAAACGCAGAAAGGAUGAAAGCCAAAAGCCCGAAGAAAAGUCAUUUUCCCAAACCCAUUUGCAUGCAUUUCCUCACUUUCCCAUUUCCCUUUUCCAAUUUUCUGUAAUUCUUUCCAAGAACAACUAAUUCUUUCGAAAUUCCAAUCAAGAAAAAUAAAAGAUUGUAUAUAAUUUACAUUUAUGUAUUUUAACUCCCUUGUUCCUAAACACAAUGUUUGUAGAACUCACUUCGCUAGCUGCUGUUGUGCAGGCAAGCUGUUUUAUCAGCUUAAGAGCGGUUGCUUGUCAAUGAGAUCAAGAAUUUGCUCUUUGGAGUUUA